CAGGACGUAGCUACAACUCCAAAGCAUUCAGCUUACGCCUGAAAGAUAUCUGCCCAUACCAGAUCGCCCUGA
rnacentral:tRNA from 1 species